CCAAUAGCGUAUAUUAAAGUUGUUGCAGUUAAAAAGCUCGUAGUUGAAUUUCGGGGUCAGUACGCUGGUCGUGCCUUUGGUAUGCACUGGUGUCACUGGUUCCUCCUUUCUGACGAACCGUGAUGUCAUUAAUUUGGUGUUGCGGGAAAUCAGGACUGUUACUUUGAAAAAAUUAGAGUGUUUAAAGCAGGCUCACGCUUGAAUACAUUAGCAUGGAAUAAUGAAAUAGGACGUUUGAUUCUAUUUUGUUGGUUUCUAGGAUCGACGUAAUGAUUAAUAGGGAUAGUUGGGGGCAUUAGUAUUCAAUUGUCAGAGGUGAAAUUCUUGGAUUUAUUGAAGACUAACUACUGCGAAAGCAUUUGCCAAGGAUGUUUUCAUUAAUCAAGAACGAAAGUUAGGGGAUCGAAGACGAUCAGAUACCGUCGUAGUCUUAACCAUAAACUAUGCCGACUAGGGAUCGGAUGAUGUUAAUUUUAUAAUGACUCAUUCGGCGCCUUACG
rnacentral:rRNA from 1 species